rnacentral:lncRNA from 1 species
AAUAAUUAUAUCCUUGAAGGAUAACUGUGAUGGGAUGAGAGCAAUUUCACCCUCAGUUCUUCAACAACACAGCUCAAAUCCAGAUGAUAUCAGAAGCAAUGAUGAUAACCCUCAAACACCACCAAGAUCUUCUCCGCAGAUAUAAACAGAGAUAUUUAGCAAAAAAAAAAAAGGAUAUAAACAGAGAUGAGUCAGCAGGUAUUAUGCAUUUACAUUGUGUUUUAUAAUAUGUUGUAGUGUAUGUUAUGCGAGGUUAAUAAGCUUACAUCGUGACUUUUUGUUGAACAUUCAGAUGUGAAGUUGUACGAGAAUACAGAUCAUCAGUAGUUAGUAAACCAGGUCUCUGCAAGAAAGCAAUCGCAAAAUGAGCUUGAAAGUUCAGAAGCACAGAGAUUGUUGAGAACAUGUCCUGAUGCAAGGAGAAAAUCAUUGUCGGCAGCCAUCGCUGGGUCACUUAGUGAGGAUUCACAGAUGAAUAAACGG